ensembl:misc_RNA Metazoa_SRP Metazoan signal recognition particle RNA
GCCGGGCAUGGUGUGACGUGCCUAUAGUUCCAGCUACUUAGGAGGCUGAGGUGGGAGGAUCGCUUGAGCCCAGGAGUUCUGGGCUGUAGUGUGCUGUGCCAAUAGGGUGUCUGCACUAAGUUCGGCAUCAGUAUGGUGAUCUCCCGGGAGUGGGGGCCACCAGGUUGCCUAAGGAGGGGUGAACCGGCCCAGGUCAGAAAUAGAACAGGCUAAAACUCCCAUGCUGAUCAGCAGUGGGAUUGCGCCUGUCAAUAGCCACUGCACUCCAGCCUGGGCAACAUAGCGAGACCCUGUCUCAA